UUGUGUACAUUUGGCUCUGCCUUCAGCCAUUUUGACCUUGCUGUAACUGGUGUCCCCCCUGCAUUCUGCUAAGCAUUCGUGGGAAAGUGGUUCCAUCAACUAAAGAUGUUUUCAGUGCUAAGGCGCACGCUGCCACUAGCUGUGCGACAGAGUGUUCACACACAGAAAGCAAACUGGAAUGAUAUGGCAGGGCCCCCCAUGAGAACUGUGUCCAAAACUACGCUGUAUUUGUCAACUAUUUUCAUCAAUGUUUGUAUAUUUGGGCCACACUUCUACUAUAUGGUUUGGUUGGAGCAAAAGUAUGGAAAGACUUCAAAAUGGGCGAAGCUGCAGAAGUCAGCCAAGAACAUGGGAAACAAAAAAAAUAUGAAAAAAGAAUAAUAUUUUAAACUCUUAAGACUGCUUAUAUGAGUUACCAGACACACUGUGCUCAGGUGCAUCUAUUUAAAACCCAAUCACUAUAACUGAGAAUUUAACGAAAUGCGUUUUUUUUUUUUUUUUUUUUUUUUUUCCACUUAGAGGAUAAGGAUACAAUCAUUGAAGACACUUCCUUUUUACCAGUUUGGUUUUAAAAAGCACACAGUUUGUGGUCUACUGACUGAAUCAUGGAUAUGUAUGUUCAAGAACAAUGGAUACUCAAACACAAAGAGCAUAAGGCAUGAUGGCAAGUAGUUUCCAAAAAAGGAUCGAAAACCUGAAGACUUGAGUUUUGUGUUUGAUUAAUGUUUACUGUAUAUUAAUCAUGGAAAUCUAUUAAAUUUUGUUGUGAAAAAAUUAAAAAUGAAUUGAGAAUUGUUUCUUGUUUCUUGUUGUGGCUGGUCACAUGUAGUGUGUUACACAGUGUAUUUGUAAAACAAGGCAAGUGGUCAAAUGUACAGGCAAAAUAAAAGGUGCACAAAAUGUG